UCUGAAUCAAUUAAGAUGAUCAUGAUUUUUUUCUCUUACUAGUUAAUGUGGUUAAUUAUAAUUUUCAAAUGUUAAACCAACCUCGCAGUCCUAGAGUAAACCCCAUUUGGUAAUUGUGUAGUAUCGUUUAAUAUCUAUAUCUAUAUUGCUGUUUUCUUGUAUAUAUUUUCAUGAGAGAGAUUGGCCUGUAGUCUUGAAAUGUCUUUGUCAUGUUUUGAUAGAGAGGUUAUGCUGACCUCUUUUCUAUUGUCUUUUUGUAUUGUCUGAAACAAUUUGUAUUUUGAGUGAGGUCAUCUUCGUCUCUCAAGACCAGCCCAGUUGCCAGCUGAAUACCACUGAAUGAACAACCAAACUGUCACUGGAGAUGAAGAGAGGGCCUUGGCCACUGUGCCAGGUGUGCCUGCUACAGUUCUUGGAAAACAGAGGCUGCUCAGUAGAGGAGGGUGAUAUAUCUUCCUGACAAAGCUCCUGCCAGGAGACGAUGUGCAUAACUCAGCCCUGAGCCUUUCUAUGAGCUCUGCCAAAUCCGACAGACAGGUAACAAAACACUGAAAAAAAAGUAAUGUCAGCCCAGCCUGGCGAGUGCCAACACCGCUCCCUUAAUUACUCUACCUAGUGACAAAAGCUAUUCAUCAAACUCGAAAUAAAGUGGUUUUAAAGUCAGAAAUUUAUGUGCCAGCCAGUGAGAGGCUGUAAUUUUGGGGGCAUUGGUUUAAAGCAACAUAAAGCAAGAUGAAAACAAAUUGGAGAGCCAGGUAACUUUUCAUUUACACAAUGGCACCAUCAGGUUUGUCUUUGGUUCUUUCUGAUUUUCUCACCAUGUCUUUCUCCCCACAUUCUAGCCAAAUAAAACUUUUGAUCCAGGCCAAGAUCCCAUCCUGAAGCCAAAAGGAAGAUUAAUUCAUUCUUGAUUUACUUAUUAAACAUUUGUUGUAUUAAAUAAGUAGAGUGAAAAGAAGGCCGAGUAAUCCUGGAGGAAUUUAUUUAUUCAACAAGCAUUGACUACCUACAAUGUGCCAGACAUCAACAAAAGGGCUAGGAAAAUGGUGGUAAACAAGACAGCAAAGAAAUGUUUUCUUAUGGAGCUCACAUAUGUAUACAGAAGAAAACGUAAAUACAUAAGAAGAUGUGGAUAGUGAUAAAUGAGAAUGAUGGGGGGUGGGCAGGGAAACACAAGAAGAGGCAUGUGGAAAUGUAAGCACUAGAGCAGCGGUCUACUUAGUGCAUCUGGUGAAUGGAAAAUGGGCCAGUGUGGCUGGUGUGGGAAAGAGUGGAAAUAGACAAGGUCGGAGAGGUUGACAGGGCCAGAUCAAGAAGGGCCUUUGAGCCAGAAUGAGGAGUGAGGAUUUCAUUCCAAGUACAGCAUAAGCCAAUGGAGAGUUUUAAGCACAGUGAUCAUGUGACCAACACUUAUUGAAAGUGAAGGAUUUGAAAGGGUUUUUGCAAAAGAAGUCAUUAUCUAAUUCAAGAUUUAUUGAGCUUAAACAAUUAUUGAACCUUUGUUAUGUGCCAGGUGCUGACGACAGAAAGAUGAAUAAGAUGCUGACUCUGUCCUCGAGGUACAUACAAUCCAGUGGAGACACACAGUCUUGUGCAUGAAUAAGAACAACAUGGCAAUAAUGAGCAACAGUGCCUUUGUGGGGCAAAGUCAUGUGGUGCCACUUCCAUCUGUUUUAUUAACAAACAGAACAUGGUCUCUUAAAAGAGGCUUUUCUGGAUGUGCUUUUUGUUUUUUUAAGUGCUGAAAGCUAGGUACCUAUAUUAUAUCCUUGAUUUUGUCUCAUGUCCUGAAAAGCCUAAAAUGUGGAUCUUUAUCAAAAAAGAAUGCCAAAUCUUGUUUUAAAACUGGAAUGCUGUGGAACACAAUGUUUCCCAGAGAGAAAUCCCUGAAAUUCUAUUCCCACUGAUCUUCAAUGCAGAAGAGGUACCAUGGUCAAAUGAAGGCCCUGACAAUUCCUGAAGUAAUAACAAAUUCACGACCACAAUCAAAUGAACGUGCAAAUCCAUUUCACUGUGUUUAACUGAAUGUUUUUCAAUAUCUGUGAAGACAGACUGUUCAUUGGAAAACAAUCCUCAAAAUGCACAUUGGGCCCUGGCCGUGAGCUGGGUUCUGUCUGGCACACUCCUGUGUUCUCU
rnacentral:lncRNA from 1 species